AUCUCUAUGUCUCUCUCGCUACGUUAUUCACUUUUCAGGCUCUUCAAAAUUCCUUUGCUUCCAUUGAAGAAGCCGCAAGGGUUCCAGAUUUCUCCCUAUUUACUUCUUUUGCCACUCUGCUCUGCUCUUCUUUACUCUUUAGAGUUUUUACUUAUGUCUGAUUUUUUGGAGAAAACCUCAAAUUACUAGUUUAUUUUAAUAUAGUGAUGACACGCCACCGUUUUUCUCGUUUUCUUUGAAAAAAAACCCGACUCCUUGCAGUUUCUGUUGCAGACUGUGGACAUCUAAAACUCUGUCUUGUAGCGCAAAAGUCUGGGUAUAUUAUGCACCGAGUGUGUUCGAAGAAAUUCCUCUAAGAAAUUAAAUUACUAGAAAGGUUUAAAAAUGAUCCCAAAGCAAUUUCGUAUAUUGGGAAAAGGCGCUGCGAUAGUUUUUGGAGGAUUUAUGGCUCUCAAUCUUGCAGCUACCGUUGCCAUUGGUGCAUUUCGCUCUGUAGCCGAAAGGAAUCGGAGAAAAUUUGCCUUGCCUUGUGGGGUUUGUAAAGGGAAAGGAUUUUACUUAUGCAAGCUGUGCAACGGAAAUGCUACAAUAAAGUGGUCACCUUUGUAUGAUCCUAUUCAUAUUAACCCUUGUGUUUGCCCUACUUGUGAUGGUAACAGGGUGCAGCGCUGCUUAAACUGUCUUGGCAAAGGUUAUAGUUGACUACUACUUAACUUGUAAGAGUUUCGAUUGUCAUUGCUUUAUAAUUCUGAAUUCCAUUUUGUAAGUGAAUAAUUUUCUGCUAUGUAUUAGAGCCUUAUUCUUGCUGCUUUAUAAUCUAUGUUACACCGUCUUCAUGGCAAUCAGAAAAUCAAGAAGCCAUCUCGCAAUGCAAUGAGGUCUUGUUAUUUCAUUUCAUCGUCGACUGACAUUCAAAAUUUUGAUGAACUGCUUGCUUUCUGCGAUUGUCUCUGACAAGAUCGAUGAAAUGAACUACUGCUACCUGAUUUUGAACUACAAUAGGAUUACAUGCUCUACGAGCUGCUGUGGGUCAUGACCCCAGUUUGCAAGAUGGUUGCCAAGUUAAUGUGAUUUACAGUACAAUUAAAUUCGCAAAUCCUAUUAAAGUGAGUUGGUACUGGGAAAUCCAAUUUUUUUUCCUUUGAACUCUUUUAGAUCACUUUCUUAAUCACAUGAAUUAUAAUUAGAUCAAUAGCUCCUUCAAAUGAGUAUGUUCCUUGGAUUGGGAAGAAACUAUAUAUAUAUAUUGGUAUUUUUCAUUUUCGUUUUA